UGUUUCGGCUAGGGGGUCAUCCCGACUUACCAACCCGAUGCAAACUACGAAUACCGAAGAAUGUUAUCACGGGAGACACACGGCGGGUGCUAACGUCCGUCGUGAAGAGGGAAACAACCCAGACCGCCAGCUAAGGUCCCAAAGUCAUGGUUAAGUGGGAAACGAUGUGGGAAGGCACAGACAGCCAGGAUGUUGGCUUAGAAGCAGCCAUCAUUUAAAGAAAGCGUAAUAGCUCACUGGUCGAGUCGGCCUGCGCGGAAGAUGUAACGGGGCUAAACCAUGCACCGAAGCUGCGGCAGCGACACGAUGUGUUGUUGGGUAGGGGAGCGUUCUGUAAGCCUGCGAAGGUGUGCUGUGAGGCAUGCUGGAGGUAUCAGAAGUGCGAAUGCUGACAUAAGUAACGAUAAAGCGGGUGAAAAGCCCGCUCGCCGGAAGACCAAGGGUUCCUGUCCAACGUUAAUCGGGGCAGGGUGAGUCGACCCCUAAGGCGAGGCCGAAAGGCGUAGUCGAUGGGAAACAGGUUAAUAUUCCUGUACUUGGUGUUACUGCGAAGGGGGGACGGAGAAGGCUAUGUUAGCCGGGCGACGGUUGUCCCG
rnacentral:rRNA from 1 species